UCUGGUGAUGAUGGCGAAGAGGUCACACCCGUUCCCAUGCCGAACACGGAAGUUAAGCUCUUCAGCGCCGAUGGUAGUCGGGGGUUUCCCUCUGUGAGAGUAGGACAUCGCCAGGC
rnacentral:rRNA from 1 species